rnacentral:rRNA from 1 species
AACGAACGCUGGCAGCAUGCCUAACACAUGCAAGUCGAACGAGACCUUCGGGUCUAGUGGCGCACGGGUGCGUAACGCGUGGGAACCUGCCCUUAGGUUCGGAAUAACUCCCCGAAAGGGGUGCUAAUACCGGAUAAUGUCUUCGGACCAAAGAUUUAUCGCCUUUGGAUGGGCCCGCGUUGGAUUAGCUAGUUGGUAGGGUAAAAGCCUACCAAGGCGACGAUCCAUAGCUGGUCUGAGAGGAUGAUCAGCCACACUGGGACUGAGACACGGCCCAGACUCCUACGGGAGGCAGCAGUGGGGAAUAUUGGACAAUGGGCGAAAGCCUGAUCCAGCAAUGCCGCGUGAGUGAUGAAGGCCUUAGGGUUGUAAAGCUCUUUUACCCGGGAUGAUAAUGACAGUACCGGGAGAAUAAGCUCCGGCUAACUCCGU